UGGGGAAUAUUGCACAAUGGGCGAAAGCCUGAUGCAGCAACGCCGCGUGAGUGAUGAAGGUCUUCGGAUUGUAAAGCUCUGUCUUUUGGGACGAUAAUGACGGUACCAAAGGAGGAAGCCACGGCUAACUACGUGCCAGCAGCCGCGGUAAUACGUAGGUGGCGAGCGUUGUCCGGAUUUACUGGGCGUAAAGGGUGCGUAGGCGGAUGUUUAAGUGAGAUGUGAAAUACCCGGGCUUAACUUGGGUGCUGCAUUUCAAACUGGAUAUCUAGAGUGCAGGAGAGGAGAAUGGAAUUCCUAGUGUAGCGGUGAAAUGCGUAGAGAUUAGGGAGAACACCAGUGGCGAAGGCGAUUCUCUGGACUGUAACUGACGCUGAGGCACGAAAGCGUGGGUAGCAAACAGGAUUAGAUACCCUGGUAGUCCACGCCGUAAACGAUGAGUACUAGGUGUAGGAGGUAUCGACCCCUUC
rnacentral:rRNA from 1 species